rnacentral:tRNA from 1 species
UGGAUCUUUAGCUCAGUUGGUUAGAGCAACCGGCUCAUAACCGGUAGGUCCGGGGUUCGAGUCCCUGAAGGUCCACCAUUUGGGGGUAUAGCUCAGUUGGGAGAGCACCUGCCUUGCAAGCAGGGGGUCAGGAGUUCGAAUCUCCUUAUCUCCACCAUUUAAACAGGCCAUUAAGGACUGUUUUUUUAUUACUAAU